UAAAUUACUAACCUCGACAAUAACAAUCCAAAAUUACUAAAUGUUGUUGUAAAAAACUAAACUAAUAUGAAUUUCCAUCAAACCCUUAUUAGACUUAUAUAGGAACAACAUAAUAUAUUUAUUCAUAUGCAUAUGUGUGACUGUUAUAAAGAUGGCUUGAAAAACAAAAGGAAAGAAAGACGUCGAAAAAGGAAACGUAAAAGACAAACAUUUUGUAAAAAGUUAAGACGCAGAUUCUGCCGUUGGUUUUGUAGAAAAAUCAGAAGAUGCAUUAAAAGGGCUAUUUUUGGUGAUCCCGAUCCAAGUUUACAUGAUAUUGAAAUUGCAGGUGUUAAUUUUGGAACAGCAAGAAGUAAAAUAAAGAAUGUGAAGGAUAAAAUGAAGAUUAGAAAGUCUUUUAAACCGAAAAAUAAAAGUACUGAUACCCAUGUCGACAAACAAACUUCGAUACUUACUAAGUCCAUAGCUAUUAAAAGCAGCAAAUCCAAAAUAGGAGUAAGAAAAUUGAAAAGUAAACUUAAAAACAAGUUUUAUAAAAGGUUUAAAGGAUUAAACAAAGAAAUCGAUCUGAAGAAAAAACCUUCGAUUUCUACUAUUUUUAAAAGAAUACCUACGAUUUCAAACGUUUUUGAAAGAUAUGAUUUAAAAGCUAAAUCUAUUUCUUUGAUAAAGGUUGUUCAAAGUGAAAUUGAUAAGUAUUCGCUAUCAGAUACUUUAAAAGACCUUAAAAGUAUAACUGGCAUCAGUCGUAUUCUAUACCCCGAAGACCCCAAGGUUGAAAAUAGCAAUGUAAAAAAAAAAGAUAAAGAAAUUACCCAAAUAUUCGAUAAUUCUAACUUCGUCGAAAAGAAAUCAGAACAAAGUCUUUUUAAAUACUACAAAAUUAAAAAAUACAACUCAAAACAGAAAAGCGAUCAUGUGCCUUUUCAAAAACAAUCUAUGUUCAAGCAACUGAAAUCAGACUUGAGGUCGAAAAUUGGUUUCCUUUAAGAGAACAGUAAUGGAAGUUUUGAAUUAGCAAAAUUAAUAGUUCUAGCAUAAAUUACAAGAAGAAAUUAAUGAAACAUUGAAAUUUUAAUGGGAUGAUAAAAAUGCAUGCCUAUUAUUCUGGUCUACUCGUGAUUCUCGUCUUGCACAAAACAUUCCAGCAAGAGUGUAAAUGCAAAAAAGCAGCUCGACCAGAGGCUCAAAAGAAUAAUGAAGGAAGAGUAGACACACCUAAAAAGAAAUGUUGCCCGUAUAAUUUCGAUG